rnacentral:rRNA from 1 species
AUUGAACGCUGGCGGCAUGCUUUACACAUGCAAGUCGAACGGUAACAGGGAGCUUGCUCCGCUGACGAGUGGCGAACGGGUGAGUAAUGCGUCGGAACGUGCCGAGUAGUGGGGGAUAACGCAUCGAAAGGUGUGCUAAUACCGCAUACGUACUGAGGUAGAAAGUGGGGGACCUUCGGGCCUCACGCUAUUCGAGCGGCCGACGUCUGAUUAGCUAGUUGGUGAGGUAAAGGCUCACCAAGGCGACGAUCAGUAGCGGGUCUGAGAGGAUGAUCGGCCACAGUGGGACUGAGACACGGCCCAGACUCCUACGGGAGGCAGCAGUGGGGAAGUUUGGACAAUGGGCGCAAGCCUGAUCCAGCCAUGCCGCGUGUCUGAAGAAGGCCUUCGGGUUGUAAAGGACUUUUGUCCGGGAGCAAAUGCCUGGUGUUAAUAGCAUCGGGAGCUGAGAGUACCGGAAGAAUAAGCACCGGCUAACUACGUGCCAGCCGCCGCUGUAAAAC